GGGGAUGUAGCUUACUAGGUAGAGUGCUUGCCUAGCAUGCAUGAAGUCUAGGGUUCCAUCCCCC
rnacentral:tRNA from 1 species